rnacentral:rRNA from 1 species
UGGAUCCUUCAGUUCGGCUUGGACCGGUUACAGGUUGCUGCAUUGGCUGUCGUCAGCUCGUGUCGUGAGAUGUUGGGUUAAGUCCCGCAACGAGCGCAACCCUCGCCCUUAGUUGCCAGCAUUAAGUUGGGCACUCUAAGGGGACUGCCGGUGAUAAGCCGAGAGGAAGGUGGGGAUGACGUCAAGUCCUCAUGGCCCUUACGGGCUGGGCUACACACGUGCUACAAUGGUGGUGACAGUGGGCAGCGAGACCGCGAGGUCGAGCUAAUCUCCAAAAGCCAUCUCAGUUCGGAUUGCACUCUGCAACUCGAGUGCAUGAAGUUGGAAUCGCUAGUAAUCGCGGAUCAGCAUGCCGCGGUGAAUACGUUCCCGGGCCUUGUACAACACCG